CCGCCUCCCCGUCCUGGACGCUCUCGGCGGGAUGAUCUCAGGAGCUCCAUCAUCGCACAGACCGUCCCCAUAAUGCUCUUGCUCCGACAUCUUCUCAACAGAAGCCCAAGUUCAAGUUUCAGAAGUGCCCGGGUAUUGAGGGGUCUGCUGCGCCUUUCCAAAAACAUUAAAUCACGGAACCGGACUCCAGCUCAUCUGGCCUCGGGCGAUUCCGUUAGUCCGUUAGAGCGUCCCCGGUCCGGCAUUCGGCCUGUGACUGCAAUGAAAUCAGAAGACUUACAGAAUCACCAGGUCAAGACAUUACAGGAUUAAAGUCAUUAUUUUCCUGGAGGCUCCUUCUAACGUGACAGAUGCAGCAAUCAGAAGUGUAUAGAUGUUGAUCCAAGUAUGAUCAGUGUGAACCAGUCAACACCUGGUGUUGGUGGUUUACCCCAUAAGGACCUACAGCUGUCAUACUGGCUCGGCCUCAGCUGCUUCAAUGAUCCCAGUUAGCAUUCCUCAAUCAACACACACACACACACAGUGUCCACUCACGUGUGUGAGUGUGUGAGACAUGGAGUCAACACGUGUCUGACUAAUUCUUAGAAUGUAGGGUAGGCUUAACUUCAUCACGGAUGUACGAUGUAUUCUUAUUUGUGUCUCUGUGGGAGUUUGUAGGAGUGGAUGAGAAUGAGUAAAAUGUCAAAUUUGAGAAUGAGACAAACAGUAUUUUAUGUUCCUAAUUUUCAGUGCCUGUGUGGGCGUGGAGGUGUGUGUCUAUUUAUCACCAAUGAAAGGUUUAAUGGUUAGUGUUUGAGAGGCGGUCUGCUCUCUGUGUCUGUGUUGGGUCUGUGUUUUUAAUGGUCCACAGCGGAAACAGACUAGGAGGACAGGCAGGGGAUAUGGAGGGUGUUAUGUUAGGCAGGGACAUGGGGGGUGUUGGGAUAGGCAGGGGACAUGGGGAUGUUGGGAGAGGCAGGGGACAUGGGGGGUGUUGGGAUAGGCAGGCGA